rnacentral:rRNA from 1 species
UUCAUUGGUGAAAAUUAUUUUUAAAAACAACCAGAUAAUUGAUCUCAGAAGCUAAGCAAGGUCGUGCCUGGUCAGUAUUUGGAUGGGAGACCACCUAGGAAGACCAGGUGCUGUAGGUG